rnacentral:rRNA from 1 species
CAGCCGCCGCGGGAAUACGUAGGGUGCGAGCGUUAAUCGGAAUUACUGGGCGUGAAGCGUGCGCAGGCGGCUAUGCAAGACAGAUGUGAAAUCCCCGGGCUCAACCUGGGAACUGCAUUUGUGACUGCAUGGCUUGAGUACGGUAGAGGGGGAUGGAAUUCCGCGUGUAGCAGUGAAAUGCGUAGAUAUGCGGAGGAACACCGAUGGCGAAGGCAAUCCCCUGGACCUGUACUGACGCUCAUGCACGAAAGCGUGGGGAGCAAACAGGAUUAGAUACCCCUGUAGUCCCUGUCUCUUAUAC